CUCUGCCUCCUUGUGCUUUCCCUGUGCAAACAAGAGUUUCACAGUCUGCUGAGCAGAUUUGAGCCAUUCUGCGUGGUAAAACAACCUUUAAAUAUUGUGAAAUCAGUCCUUUGGCAAUCAAAUUUACAGCUGCAUGAGGCUGUGAGAUGUUAAUCUUUGGAGACCUUUAUCCCUGGAAUUACUCAGUGACACCAGCAAUUAAAGGCCAUGGGCUGUGACAGCUCACACCUGAAUGUGUCCUCUAGAAAAUGCUGGCCACC